GCUGUUCACUUCGCAUAGGUUUAUUAUACGCCUGCCAUGUGUCGGGCACCGCUUUAUGCAGUGUGUUCAAUCAUUAACGCGAGACUAACAGAAAUUAAUGGAGUUGAUAAGGGAGCUGAAGGAAUCAGUCUGCACCGAUACUUAGAGUAGCCAAGAGGUGAUCGAAUGGAUAAACAAAAGUGCGUACGAGGGCAGAAGGUGUGCAGCUCCCAGAAAAGGGCCUGGACGCAGGCUGCAGCACCAGGACCUCGAGCUCAGGCACUCGAGGCGCUCACCAAAGGACAGACGCUGUGUGACGCCACUCGCUGAGGCUGGCUUUUUGUUGUUGUUGGCCUGUUCCAACUCAGAACGAUGAAGAGCAGAGAGAAAGCUUUUUCUUUCCCUACAGUUUGGAAUGGCACUAAACUAUAUUUUACAUAUGAUUAAAAUGGUAAACUUUA